rnacentral:lncRNA from 10 species
CUAACAUCUGGGCCUCGGACGUCUCAAAAGUGCUCUAUUGACUUUUUCUUUUAAACCAAUGUACCGAAUCCCACUCGGUUGGCAGGAGGCCACGGGCGGAUUUGGGGCGGCACAGAGCACAGCCGAGUGCCAGGGUGUACCCCGCCGCAGCAUUUUUCCAAGGCUCUGCCUGGCUGGCCCUGCUCGCAGUGGGAGCUGUGGUCCCCGCAGAACGGCGCGUCCUGGGCAGGCUGCGCGCGGGUGAUUCAUGCAUUCAUGCAUAUCUGUGGGAAGCUGGGAACCAAGCUGGUGAGCUCGGCUGCCAAGUAGGCCUUGCUGGCCCUGCUUUCCCCUGGGGCUGGGCAACCCCAGGCUCCUUCGUGACUCCUCAGAAUCUCGGACACCCCCUGAAUUCCACCCUGGUGGGCCAUUUGUGGUCUGUGCCCCAUCCAGGGCCUGAAAGAGGUGCACCAACCUCCUACAUGGAUUCCACAGAUCCUGAUUCAGACAGCGAGCACCCCGGACUAUAACGAUACCUGGGGGAAAUAGACAGAGUCUGCGCACCACCGAAUUCCAGCUGGUGGACUUCAGACCCGGGUUUGAAGCCUGGCUCUGCCACAUCCUGAUCAUGUGGACUUAGAUCACCUGAGUGAGUAAUCACAGAUGGCUGCUUGGAGGUGGCAAGAGAUGGACGGGGGGUUUCCAGUCUGUCAUCCCGGGUUCCAGCUUGUCCUGGUGGCUCCAGUUUGUCGUCACUCCCUCCCACUUCCCAUCCAUCCUUCCUUCUUGGUGGCUGCCCUGCUGACUUGAGGAUCCAGCGUCAAAUUCAAAGAAGCAGCCCCAUGUAGACUGGUGAACCAGCUCCCCAAGUUGCAUAAGGUGGAAAGACUAGCCUCAACUGUUU